UAGGGAAUCUUCCGCAAUGGGCGAAAGCCUGACGGAGCAACGCCGCGUGAGUGAUGAAGGUCUUCGGAUCGUAAAACUCUGUUAUUAGGGAAGAACAAAUGUGUAAGUACCUAUGCACGUCUUUACGGUACCUAAUCAGAAAGCCACGGCUAACUACGUGCCAGCAGCCGCGGUAAUACGUAGGUGGCAAGCGUUAUCCGGAAUUAUUGGGCGUAAAGCGCGCGUAGGCGGUUUUUUAAGUCUGAUGUGAAAGCCCACGGCUCAACCGUGGAGGGUCAUUGGAAACUGGAAAACUUGAGUGCAUAAGAGUAAAGUGGAAUUCCAUGUGUAGCGGUGAAAUGCGCAGAGAUAUGGAGGAACACCAGUGGCGAAGGCGACUUUCUGGUCUGUAACUGACGCUGAUGUGCGAAAGCGUGGGGAUCAAACAGG
rnacentral:rRNA from 1 species